rnacentral:rRNA from 1 species
CGUAGGGUGCAAGCGUUAAUCGGAAUUACUGGGCGUAAAGCGUGCGCAGGCGGUUCGUUAAGUUCGUUGUGAAAGCCCCGGGCUCAACCUGGGAAUGGCAAUGGAAACUGGCGGGCUUGGAGUGUGGCAGAGGGGGGUGGAAUUCCGCGUGUAGCAGUGAAAUGCGUAGAGAUGCGGAGGAACACCGAUGGCGAAGGCAGCCCCCUGGGCCAACACUGACGCUCAGGCACGAAAGCGUGGGGAGCAAACAGGAUUAGAUACCCUGGUAGUCCACGCCCUAAACGAUGCUCACUAGGUGUUGGGGAAGCGAUUCCUUGGUACCGUAGCUAACGCGUGAAGUGAGCCGCCUGGGGAGUACGGCCGCAAGGUUA